rnacentral:rRNA from 1 species
GGAGUUCGAUCCUGGCUCAGAUUGAACGCUGGCGGGAUGCUUUACACAUGCAAGUCGGAACGGCAGCACGGACUUCGGUCUGGUGGCAGGCGCCAAUGGUGGGCUGGCGCAUCUGAACGAUACAAACGUCGCGGGGAUAUUGCAAGCGUAAUAUUAUUACAUGCUGCGUGGAAAGCGGGGAACAUUGGAGCAUCUUUGCCUGUCGACGACAUUCUGGUUAACCGUUGGACGUUGUGUCACCAAAGCGAUCGUAACAGUUUGAGGAUGACGUCACCUGGGACUGAGACACGGCCCAGACUCCUGCGAGGAGGCAGCAGUGGGGAAUUUUGGACAAUGGGGAAACCCUGAUCCAGCCAUCCCGCGUGCGAUGAAGGCCUUCGGGUUGUAAAACACUUUUGGCAGGAAAGAAACGGCCUGGAUAAUACCCGAUACUGACGGUACAGAAUAACAGUAACUUCGCCGUAACGCGGUAAUACGUAAGUGCAAGCGUUAAUCGGAAUUACUGGGCGUAAAGCGUGCGCAGGCGGUUCGGAAGAAAGAUGUGAAAUCCCAGAGCUUAACUUUGGAACUGCAUUUUUAACUACCGAGCUAGAGUGUCAGAGGGAGGUGGAAUUCGCGUGUAGCAGUGAAAUGCGUAGAUAUGCGGAGGAACACCGAUGGCGAAACAGCCUCCUGGACUUACUGACGCUCAUGCAACGUGGGGAGCAAACAGGAUUAGAUACCUGAGCAGUCGCCUAAACUUGAUGUCAACUAGCUGUUGGGGCCUUCGGGCCUUGGUAGCGCAGCUAACGCGUGAAGUUGACCGCCUGGGAGAUGCGGUCGCAAGAUUAAAACUCAAGGAAUUGACGGGGACCGCACAAGCGGUGGAUGAUGUGGAUUAAUUCGAUGCAACGCGAAAAACCUUACCUACCCUUGACAUGUCUGGAAUCCCGAAGAGAUUUGGGAGUGCUCGCAAGAGAACCGGAACACAGGUGCUGCAUGGCUGUCGUCAGCUCGUGUCGUGAGAUGUUGGGUUAAGUCCCGCAACGAGCGCAGCCCUUGUCAUUAGUUGCUACGAAAGGAGCACUCUAAUGAGACUGCCGGUGACAAACCGGAGGAAGGUGGGGAUGACGUCAGAGUCCUCAUGGCCCUUAUGGGUAGGGCUUCACGUCAUACAAUGGUCGGGACAGAGGGUCGCCAACCCGCGAGGGGAGCCAAUCCCAGAAACCCGAUCGUAGUCCGGAUCGCAGUCUGCAACUCGACUGCGUGAAGUCGGAGAUCGCUAGUAAUCGCGGAUCAGCAUGUCGCGGUGAAUACGUUCCCGGGUCUUGUACACACCGCCCGUCACACCAUGGGAGUGGGUUUUACCAGAAGUAGUUAGCCUAACCGUAAGGAGGGCGAUUACCUGUGCGAAGUUCAUGACUGGGGGUGAGUCGUAACAAAGGUAA